UGUACAGCAUUGUAUUACUAUAGUACUAGUAGUAGGAAAUAAACUAACCCUCAAACUAGCAGAACAUUCUGAAGUAGCAGUAGCUAUCUAUAAACUAUAAAUUAAUUAAACCUCUCCGGUGCAAGGGUUAGCAUCAGGCAUCAUAAAUAUGCUUGUCACGCAUGACUAGCUAGUCUCAUGUGUUGUUACCGCCAUUAGCUCAUUUUGAAUAAGAGAUUUUACAGAAAACUGUGAGAUUCAGAUUUUUACAGAAAACUGUGAAAUUCCCAGGGAAAUACUAGUAAGCAAUAAUGCAGCAACACCUGCAGUGCGUACUUCAGUUUUGGAAGGGUCCCAGAAAAGCAUUCCUUGUUGGGUCAUGGACGCAGCCUUAUUCCCUCCAGAGAGCUUUGACAUUUUGAUCCUACUAUAGCAGUAGUAUCCUACGGCCCCAAAAAGGGACAUGACCAAACUGCCCCUCCCCCACACACACUGACCUCCCUUAACUAACUCCCCCAGUGUACCUCCACGCCAUGGAAGCAGCUGGUGAUCCCUUCUCGCUUCCAAGUACUCCAUGAAUGUAACAACUUGAUGUGACCUGAGUUCUUCUCUCCUCUCCUCUCCCUCCUCGUCAUCUUCCUUCUUCCCUCACCUCGCGCCCGCUGGCCAGAUGUUUCUCCACUCCCUCUUGAUGCAAAACAUGGCCAAGAACAGUACUGCACAGCAGCAGACGAGGUACGUACGCACGCACGGCACGCUUGCAUGCGCGCGCGCAAUUGGGCGUGCUUUGGUUUUUCAUGACGACGUACGGGGUUGGCUGAUGUGAUGCUUCCAUGCGAUGCGAGCGCGCAGGUCGAAAGAGAGCGGUGGCGGCGCGGGGAGAUCGAGAGGGAUGUCGUCCAAGAAGUCGCCGUGGUACCAGCGGGCGGUGGAGGUGCUACUGCUCAUAUGGAAGCAGCCGGCUGGUGCGGGGACGACGGCGACGACGAAGGCCGCGG
rnacentral:lncRNA from 1 species